UAUUCAACCCCAGGGCGGAAGAGUUCGUCGUUUUGUGUUCCGGUCAGUGGGCCUCCGCGGACUCUGGAACAAACACCCUGAAUCUCGUGCUCAGGCAGCACCGCCUGGUUCUUCCAGGCGGCUUGAGAAGGGCUAGGCUUCGGAGCCUCCAACCUGACAAAGGUGGGACUUGGGCAAAUGUCGAGAGGCCUAAGUCUGGGACUAAAGUUGGCCCCCAUGGCGCACAUUCUUGGUCAGAAGCAGCAGAUUUCAAAAAUCAGGAGGUGUCGGGGCGGGCGGGGGAUGAAGGCAAGUAAGCUCCGGCGCUUCGCCUCCGGACCCCAACACAGCCUCCGCGGAUUUGGGAGCGGAACGGAGUCGACGGCUCUGCAGAGACGCCUCUGGCCAGAGAGCAGAUGGCACAGGCCUGCACACUCGCCAUCAAUACGGUCCAUCUGGAAGCGGCCUGGCCCAGCGGAUGGUAAUAGAUGGGCAAGGUGAAGACAGAAUUCCCAGGCAGCAGGAUGGUAAACAGUGCAGAUCUGAGAAACAGCCUGCUGACCUCUGAUAACGUGUAUAGCAACAGCAGACAAGAUUCCUGGAGGAACAGCAACUAUUAUAAGUGUGAUGAUAAAAGCCACGGAACAAAGACAAUUGAGCAAAGAAGACAGAGGGAGCCUCGGAACUUCAUGACAUUCUUGAACAGUGGCGCCAGCCCUGGACGAUUGACCUCAGGACCUCUUGCUAAAUGACAUAUACUAACUCUUUUCUGUUUAACCCACUGGAGUAGAAUUUUCUUUUGCAGUGAAUCCAAUCCUGACUGAUAGGCUAAUAUGUAUUAGCACCUGUUGUGGGCCAGUGGAGUUCUAAGAAUGUUUAUGUACUAACGUUUUUAAUCCUCACAAUGAAUGACUUUAUGAGAUAGACCAAAGGUUCUCAAAGUGUGGUCCCUGAGCCAGCAGCAUUAGCAUCACCUGGAAACUUGUUAGAAAUGCAGGUUUGGGGGCCUGACCCCAGACUUCCUAAAGCAGAAUCUCUGGGAGUGGGGCCCAGCAGUCUGUUUUAGCAAACCCUCCAGGCGAUUCUGAUGUAUGCUGAAGUUUGACAACUUUAUCUCUGUAGAUAGGGUAUUGUUGUUGUCCCCAUUUUACAGAUAAGUAGACUGAGCUGAAUUUAAGUCACUUGCCCAAUGUCACACAACCAGCAAGACUUGACUCCUAAGUCUGUUUGUAGCCACUGUGUUACACAUGUUAAGAACUCCUGCUCUAAAGUAGUAGUCUUCAAAAUUUGAAAGCAUGCUCCUCUGAAAAAUUAUGUACCCCCCUGUACAAUUUUAGAUCAAUAUCUAAAAAUUUCACAUAAGUUCAGACAGUUGUAAAGAAUCUGAUUUCCAGUACAUUGUAAAUUGUGCCAUUUCAAAAUGUGUUCCAUCACUCUUCUAAAUGAAUCUAAAUACCAUAGUGAUUAUUUUUUAAAUGGACUAUCAUCUAUUUAAAAAAAAUGUUUUCUCUAACAUUUGAAAUUUUACAUCUUCUCUUUUUAUGAACUCGUAUUUUCAUUCCCCUACCCCACAAAAAUACAUUCUAUUGUAACAUGGCUGUUUUUGAUCUACUCUGUUGUGCUCUACCCCAGGCUAACUGGUUCAUAUGUCAGCUUAUCUCAAUUUGUUCUCAAUUCUUUACUAGGAGCUUGAAAUGACAAACUGAAACAUUUUUAAAUCUCCAACCUCCCCCUCUUUAUCUUCUUAUUCCCCUGCAGCUGAAAAUGUCAAAUAGCCUAGGGGAAGAAUGCUCUAUGGGCAGUAAAAUGUAUUAAAAGAAAAUCUAAUCAGAAGAUCCUAGCACUGUCAUAAGUAUAUACAUAGAGGGAAACAGAUAAAUUUAAAAAUUGAUACAAGGAUAUGUAGAAAUUAGUAAAUGACAAAGUUGAUAUUUCAAUUCAGUAGGUAGGCAAAAUUGAUUUUAAAAUAAAUUGUGAUGCUAUAACUAACUUUGCCUAUUGGAGAAAACAAAGAUGGACAUUUACCUCUCAGCCAGUAAUAAACCAAGUUCCAGAUAGAUUAGUCACUUAAAUACAAAAUAUAAAAUAAUAAAACAUGUAGUUGCAAAUAAUAAAAGAACUCAGAAGAAAAAUAUUUACUUGGAAACUAUUGCAUAGGAAAAGUUUGAGCAACAAAGGCUUAAUAAAAAUAUGCUUCGAUGAAAGCCUACAAAAUCAUAAUAAGCUAUCUUAAAUCAGAUGUACACAAAUGGGAAAUUCACAGAAGAAAAAAAUCCACCUGAAAAUUAGAAAUGAAUGAGUCUGAGAAUGAGAUGAUGGUGAGGGGGCUGCUUUGGUCCAUCACUUCAUUGUUUUAACCAAGGACAGUGUCUUCAUGCUAUCUUAAUUCCUUAGUCUAUGAAUUGCCAAAUAUUUUGAUGCUCUUACACACUGCUUUCCAGUGCUCUUCUAAAAUGUUUCUUAAUAAAUUUAAAUCAUUCUAAAGAAUGUAAUUGCCAGUAUAUGGUAAGAUUUGAACAUUAAAAGAGCCCAAUCCAUCAUUGAUUUUUUUCCAUUGGAACCUAAGAGCAAUUUGAUAUACCCUAGCAUCCUUUAAAAAUGUACUUGGUAUACCUUUAUUUAACAGUCGAAAAAUGUUCAUGAGUUAUUUUUCUCUUUCAAAGGCAUUUCUGUUCUAUAGCUGUCAUGGAAUUUUAUCCCCAUAUAUUGCAUUUUUUAUGCUUAAAGGCUGUGACUGAUUAUUAUACUACUCCGAAACAGAAAAAUAUAUUAAAAAUGAGAUAUGAUAUUUA